GGGCCCGCACAAGCGGUGGAGCAUGUGGUUUAAUUCGAUGAUACGCGAGGAACCUUACCAGGGCUUAAAUGCAGAACGACAGGGGUGGAAACACCCUCUUCUUCGGACGGUCUGCAAGGUGCUGCAUGGUUGUCGUCAGCUCGUGCUGUGAAGUGUCGGGUUAAGUCCCAUAACGAGCGCAACCCCUAUUUCUAGUUGCCAGCGGUUCGGCCGGGGACUCUAGAAAAACUGCCAGCGUAAGCUGUGAGGAAGGUGGGGAUGACGUCAAAUCAUCACGGCCCUUACGUCCUGGGCUACACACGUGCUACAAUGGUAGGGACAGAGAGUUGCCAACCCGCGAGGGUGAGCU
rnacentral:rRNA from 1 species